rnacentral:rRNA from 1 species
AUGGGAGAUCUUAAUGAGAUCCUUUUCUUGCAUGAGAAGGAGGGAGGCAAUCCACGGCCUCCACAAUAUAUGGUAGCUUUUCAACAUGUGAUCGAUGAUUGCAGGUUACAUGAUAUGGGGUAUAUUGGAGAUAUUUUCACAUGGAGAAGAAGGAGAAUUAGAGAAAGACUGGAUAGAGGCCUAAUCAAUAAUGAAUGGGCUAGCCUCUUCCCUAAUGCUGGUUUAGAGCAUUGUAACUUUAAUCAUUCAGACCAUCGACCCUUGUUG